AGAGUUUGAUCCUGGCUCAGGAUGAACGCUGGCGGCGUGCUUAACACAUGCAAGUCGAACGGACCUUCGGGUCAGUGGCGGACGGGUGAGUAACACGUAGCUAACCUGCCCUCAAGUGCGGGAUAACGGUGCGAAAGCGCUGCUAAUACCGCAUAAGCUCCCGUCCUGUAGAGGGAUGCGAGAAAAGCGUAUACGCUUGAGGAGGGGGCUGCGGCCCAUCAGGUAGUUGGGGCGGUAACGGCGCACCAAGCCGACGACGGGUCGGGGGUCUGAGAGGAUGACCCCCCACACUGGGACUGAGACACGGCCCAGACUCCUACGGGAGGCAGCAGUGAGGGAUCUUGCACAAUGGGCGCAAGCCUGAUGCAGCGACGCCGCGUGGACGAUGACGGCUUUCGGGUUGUAAAGCACUGUCGAGGGGGAGGAAGGCGCAAGCUUGACCUAUCCCUGGAGGAAGCACGGGCUAAGUUCGUGCCAGCCGCCGCGGUAAUAC
rnacentral:rRNA from 1 species